rnacentral:sRNA from 1 species
UGUUUUUUUUGUAUUUUUGUCU